AUUGAACGCUGGCGGCAGGCUUAACACAUGCAAGUCGAGCGGAGAUGAGGUGCUUGCACCUUAUCUUAGCGGCGGACGGGUGAGUAAUGCUUAGGAAUCUGCCUAUUAGUGGGGGACAACAUUCCGAAAGGAAUGCUAAUACCGCAUACGUCCUACGGGAGAAAGCAGGGGAUCUUCGGACCUUGCGCUAAUAGAUGAGCCUAAGUCGGAUUAGCUAGUUGGUGGGGUAAAGGCCUACCAAGGCGACGAUAUGUAGCGGGUCUGCGAGGAUGCGCCGCCACACUGGGACUGAGACACGGCCCAGACUCCUACGGGAGGCAGCAGUGGGGAAUAUUGGACAAUGGGGGGAACCCUGAUCCAGCCAUGCCGCGUGUGUGAAGAAGGCCUUAUGGUUGUAAAGCACUUUAAGCGAGGAGGAGGCUACUGAGACUAAUACUCUUGGAUAGUGGACGUUACUCGCAGAAUAAGCACCGGCUAACUCUGUGCCAGCCGCCGCCGUAACAC
rnacentral:rRNA from 1 species